rnacentral:rRNA from 1 species
GGGGAAUAUUGGACAAUGGGGGGAACCCUGAUCCAGCCAUGCCGCGUGUGUGAAGAAGGCCUUUUGGUUGUAAAGCACUUUAAGCGAGGAGGAGGCUACCGAGAUUAAUACUCUUGGAUAGUGGACGUUACUCGCAGAAUAAGCACCGGCUAAUUCUGUGCCAGCAGCCGCGGUAAUACAGAGGGUGCAAGCGUUAAUCGGAUUUACUGGGCGUAAAGCGCGCGUAGGUGGCCAAUUAAGUCAAAUGUGAAAUCCCCGAGCUUAACUUGGGAAUUGCAUUCGAUACUGGUUGGCUAGAGUAUGGGAGAGGAUGGUAGAAUUCCAGGUGUAGCGGUGAAAUGCGUAGAGAUCUGGAGGAAUACCGAUGGCGAAGGCAGCCAUCUGGCCUAAUACUGACACUGAGGUGCGAAAGCAUGGGGAGCAAACAGGAUUAGAUACCCUGGUAGUCCAUGCCGUAAACGAUGUCUACUAGCCGUUGGGGCCUUUGAGGCUUUAGUGGCGCAGCUAACGCGAUAAGUAGACCGCCUGGGGAGUACGGUCGCAAGACUA